rnacentral:rRNA from 1 species
UACGGGGGGGGCAAGCGUUGUUCGGAAUUACUGGGCGUAAAGGGCUCGUAGGCGGCCAACUAAGUCAGACGUGAAAUCCCUCGGCUUAACCGGGGAACUGCGUCUGAUACUGGAUGGCUUGAGGUUGGGAGAGGGAUGCGGAAUUCCAGGUGUAGCGGUGAAAUGCGCAGAUAUCAGGAGGAACACCGGUGGCGAAGGCGGGUCUCUGGGCCGAUACUGACGCUGAGGAGCGAAAGCACGGGUAGCGAACAGG